rnacentral:miRNA from 1 species
GCACAGCCCAUGUCAGAGCAGUG